rnacentral:sRNA from 20 species
ACGCCAAGUGGUAAAGAUAAAGUAAUUUCACCAUAAUAACAUUAAUCUUAGCAAUAAAAAAGAAAUUAUGGUAUAAU